AGGAGGACGAGGGACAAAAGCAUACAUAAAGAUUCAAAUUAUGUCUUUCGCAUAAAGAAUAACUGAUUUUUUUUACAAUAUCACUCGUUGGAUUGCACUGCACAUAGAUUUCAAAAUAUUUUGAGUCUUUCCAUCCAUCCAUUAUUCAUCCAUCCAUAUAGAUCUUUGGGCAACAAUUAUACGAUUCAAUAAUAUAUUUGCAUAAAAAAAAUUUUAUCUUCGAAAUAUAG
rnacentral:lncRNA from 1 species